rnacentral:rRNA from 1 species
UACAGAGGUGGCAAGCGUUGUUCGGAGUUACUGGGCGUAAAGCGUGCGUAGGCGGUGGUCCAAGUCUGGUGUGAAAUCUCCCGGCUUAACUGGGAGGGUGCGCCGGAAACUGGGCCGCUGGAGUACGGGAGAGGCAAGCGGAAUUCCAGGUGUAGCGGUGAAAUGCGUAGAUAUCUGGAGGAACACCCGUGGUGCAGACGGCUUGCUGGACCGUGACUGACGCUGAGGCACGAAAGCGUGGGUAGCAAACAGG